GGCGAUUGCCCUCUUGGGGCGUUUCCUCCCUAGACUUCGGGCCGCUCGCGAGGGCGGCCUUUUUUUCUGCCUUGG
rnacentral:sRNA from 21 species